AUUUCCUCGCCAGAUGAACGCUGGCGGCGUGCCUAAUACAUGCAAGUCGAACGAGUUCUCGUUGAUGAUCGGUGCUUGCACCGAGAUUCAACAUGGAACGAGUGGCGGACGGGUGAGUAACACGUGGGUAACCUGCCCUUAAGUGGGGGAUAACAUUUGGAAACAGAUGCUAAUACCGCAUAGAUCCAAGAACCGCAUGGUUCUUGGCUGAAAGAUGGCGUAAGCUAUCGCUUUUGGAUGGACCCGCGGCGUAUUAGCUAGUUGGUGAGGUAAUGGCUCACCAAGGCGAUGAUACGUAGCCGAACUGAGAGGUUGAUCGGCCACAUUGGGACUGAGACACGGCCCAAACUCCUACGGGAGGCAGCAGUAGGGAAUCUUCCACAAUGGACGCAAGUCUGAUGGAGCAACGCCGCGUGAGUGAAGAAGGCUUUCGGGUCGUAAAACUCUGUUGUUGGAGAAGAAUGGUCGGCAGAGUAACUGUUGUCGGCGUGACGGUAUCCAACCAGAAAGCCACGGCUAACUACGUGCCAGCAGCCGCGGUAAUACGUAGGUGGCAAGCGUUAUCCGGAUUUAUUGGGCGUAAAGCGAGCGCAGGCGGUUUUUUAAGUCUGAUGUGAAAGCCCUCGGCUUAACCGAGGAAGCGCAUCGGAAACUGGGAAACUUGAGUGCAGAAGAGGACAGUGGAACUCCAUGUGUAGCGGUGAAAUGCGUAGAUAUAUGGAAGAACACCAGUGGCGAAGGCGGCUGUCUGGUCUGUAACUGACGCUGAGGCUCGAAAGCAUGGGUAGCGAACAGGAUUAGAUACCCUGGUAGUCCAUGCCGUAAACGAUGAAUGCUAGGUGUUGGAGGGUUUCCGCCCUUCAGUGCCGCAGCUAACGCAUUAAGCAUCC
rnacentral:rRNA from 1 species